rnacentral:piRNA from 1 species
GGCUGUGAUGAAGGUUGAUAAGUGCUU